rnacentral:rRNA from 1 species
CCUACGGGAGGCAGCAGUGGGGAAUAUUGGGCAAUGGGCGCAAGCCUGACCCAGCAACGCCGCGGGAAGGAAGAAGGCGUGCGGGUGGUAAACGUCGUGUGACAGGGAAGAGUAGAAGACGGUACCUGUCGAAUAAGCCACGGCUAACUACGUGCCAGCAGCCGCGGUAAUACGUAGGUGGCAAGCGUUGUCCGGAUUUACUGGGUGUAAAGGGCGUGUAGCCGGGUUGACAAGUCAGAUGUGAAAUCCUGCGGCUUAACCGCAGAACUGCAUUUGAAACUGUUGAUCUUGAGUACUGGAGAUGCAGCCGGCAUUCCUGGUGUAGCUGUGAAAUGCGUAGAUAUUAGGAGG